UCCUAGUACGAGAGGACCGGAGUGAACGAACCGCUGGUGUUCGGGUUGUCAUGCCAAUGGCAUUGCCCGGUAGCUACGUUCGGAACGGAUAACCGCUGAAAGCAUCUAAGCGGGAAGCCGGCCACAAGAUGAGUCAUCCCUUGGACUUUAAGUCCACUAAAGGGUCGUUGGAGACCACAACGUUGAUAGGUGAGGUGUGGAAGCGCAGUGAUGCGUUAAGCUAACUCAUACUAAUUGCCCGAGAGGCUUAACCAU
rnacentral:rRNA from 1 species